rnacentral:rRNA from 1 species
GAUGAACGCUGGCGGCGUGCCUAAUACAUGCAAGUCGAGCGAACAGACGAGGAGCUUGCUCCUCUGACGUUAGCGGCGGACGGGUGAGUAACACGUGGAUAACCUACCUAUAAGACUGGGAUAACUUCGGGAAACCGGAGCUAAUACCGGAUAACAUGUUGAACCGCAUGGUUCAACAGUGAAAGACGGUCUUGCUGUCACUUAUAGAUGGAUCCGCGCCGCAUUAGCUAGUUGGUAAGGUAACGGCUUACCAAGGCAACGAUGCGUAGCCGACCUGAGAGGGUGAUCGGCCACACUGGAACUGAGACACGGUCCAGACUCCUACGGGAGGCAGCAGUAGGGAAUCAUCCGCAAUGGGCGAAAGCCUGACGGAGCAACGCCGCGUGAGUGAAGAAGGUCUUCGGAUCGUAAAACUCUGUUAUUAGGGAAGAACAAAUGUGUAAGUAACUAUGCACGUCUUGACGGUACCUAAUCAGAAAGCCACGGCUAACUACGUG